rnacentral:tRNA from 1 species
GGACGGGUAGCCCAAUCUGGUAGAGGCACGUGGUCGAGAGCCACGGCGCUGAGGGUUCGAGUCCCUCCCCGUCCA